rnacentral:rRNA from 1 species
GACGAACGCUGGCGGCGUGCUUAACACAUGCAAGUCGAACGGAAAGGCCCUGCUUUUGUGGGGUGCUCGAGUGGCGAACGGGUGAGUAACACGUGAUUAACCUGCCCUUGACUUUGGGAUAACUUCAGGAAACUGGGGCUAAUACCGGAUAGGCGCUCCUGCUGCAUGGUGGGGUUUUGAAAGUUUCGGCGGCUGGGGAUGGACUCGCGGCUUAUCAGCUUGUUGGUGGGGUAGUGGCUUACCAAGGCUUUGACGGGUAGCCGGCCUGAGAGGGUGACAGGCCACAUAGGGACUGAGAUACGGGCCAGACUCCUACGGGAGGCAGCAGGGGGGAAUAUUGCACAAUGGGCGGAAGCCUGAUGCAGCAACGCCGCGUGCGGGAUGACGGCCUUCGGGUUGUAAACCGCUUUCGCCUGUGACGAAGCGUGAGUGACGGUAAUGGGUAAAGAAGCACCGGCUAACUAAGUG